GACGAACGCUGGCGGCGUGCUUAACACAUGCAAGUCGAGCGGUAAGGCCCUUUCGGGGGUACACGAGCGGCGAACGGGUGAGUAACGCGUGAAGAACCUGCCUUCAACAGGGGGAUAACACUCCCAACGGGGUGCUAAUACCGCAUGAGACCACGGGUCCACCUGGACCAGGGGUCAAAGGUGGCCUCUGCUUGCAAGCUACCGGUUGAAGAUGGCUUCGCGUCCCAUUAGCUAGUUGGCGGUGAACGGACCACCAAGGCGACGAUGGGUAGCUGGUCUGAGAGGAUGGUCAGCCACACUGGGACUGAGAUACGGCCCAGACUCCUACGGGAGGCAGCAGUCGAGAGGCUUUGGCAAUGGGGGAAACCCUGACCAAGCGACGCCGCGUGGAGGAUGAAGGCCCUUGGGUUGUAAACUCCUUUUGCUGGGGAAGAAACGCGAUCAGGUGAACAUCUGGUCGUUUGACGGUACCGGCGAAU
rnacentral:rRNA from 1 species